UAAGGAAUCUUCCACAAUGGACGAAAGUCUGAUGGAGCAACGCCGCGUGCAGGAUGACGGUCUUCGGAUUGUAAACUGCUUUUGUAUGGGAAGAUUAUGACGGUACCAUGCGAAUAAGGACCGGCUAACUACGUGCCAGCAGCCGCGGUAAUACGUAGGGUCCAAGCGUUAUCCGGAAUCACUGGGCGUAAAGCGUGCGUAGGCGGAUGUUUAAGUGUGAUGUGAAACCGUGUGGCUCAACCAUAUCGUUGCAUCGCAUACUGGGCAUCUAGAGGACGGCAGAGGCAAGUGGAACUCGUAGUGUAGCAGUGAAAUGCGUAGAUAUUACGAAGAACACCAAUGGCGAAGGCAGCUUGCUGGGCCGACCCUGACGCUGAGGUACGAAAGCGUGGGGAGCGAACAGGAUUAGAUACCCCCGUAGUCC
rnacentral:rRNA from 1 species